GUGAUCGCUUCAGAGCACGUGUAGUAAAUUCGGGUCUGUCACAGAAUAUCAGCAAGUCUCUGCACAAUGAUGACUCAAAAAUAUGAAGAGUUUCGUAUUUUU
rnacentral:snRNA from 1 species